UACGUAGGUGGCAAGCGUUGUCCGGAUUUAUUGGGUUUAAAGGGUGCGUAGGCGGCUUUGUAAGUCAGUGGUGAAAUAUGGCAGCUCAACUGUCAAGGUGCCAUUGAUACUGCAGAGCUUGAGUACAGAUGAGGUAGGCGGAAUUGACGGUGUAGCGGUGAAAUGCGUAGAUAUCUGGAGGAACACCGGUGGCGAAGGCGACAUCCUGGACCAACACUGACGCUGAGGAGCGAAAGCCAGGGGAGCAAACGGG
rnacentral:rRNA from 1 species